GACCACUCCCGGAUGGGAGUCAAGGCCAUACGGACAGCCGGGUCCACUGCCGA
rnacentral:sRNA from 1 species